AUUCAUUGAUUUAGUGGAAACUGAAACGGAUAAAUGCCAUGGUACUUUUAAAGUAUGUCACAAGGUGCAACACAUUGUAUUUCCUUGUCUUCACAGUGAAGUUUGCAAUGUUUGAAGAAAUUACCAGAAAGCAGUUGAUGAAAUAUUCCUGCCAUCCAAAAUGUACUCAGAAUUCUGCAUACAGACACCUCCGCUUGUCUGAAGAUUGCACCAAAGUUGAGUGGAGUAACCAGACAAUCAACUACCCUAAUGGAUUCACAGAUUGCCAACAGGUGUUGUGUUUAGAACAUCUAUCCAAGUGUGCAUAUUGGGAGGUUCAGUGGAAAACUUCAAAUCUCAGAGAUGGCAUUUCUAUUGCAGUUGCAAACUAUGACCUAGCACGUAAAGGUAAUAACUGCAGGUUUGGGCUUAAUAACGAAUCCUGGUGCUUGGACUUUUUCACACAAUAAUGUGAAGACUGAAAUUCCAGGCCCAGUCUCCCCCAGAAUAGGUGUGUAUCUGAAUCACCAGGCAGGAAUUUUGUCUUUCUACAGGAUCUUUCGUGGUGAUUUCUGAUCUGAUGGCGGGUAUUAUUUACAGAGUUCAGGCCAAAUUUACCAAGCCUUUAUGCCCAGGAUUUUACCCAUCAUCAGAUAGCUGUAUUAAACUGUUCUAAAGGGUUUACUGGCUAAAGACAGUAAGAGUACACCCCAAAUAAAACAUUGCUGUAGUUGAUGGCAUGCAGUGCACACAAUGGUUCAGUAUAGAUAUUUGUGCAGGUAUUUUCAAAGUUUAUGUGGUGUGUAUCAUACAUCAUAAAUACCCUGAUGUUUAGAAUUGUUCAAGAAUUAAAUUCUUUCCUGUUUGUUUGGCGUAGUGACCAAUGAUGUACAAAAGUAGUUGUAAAGCCUUGACUUCUACUAAUAGGUCUGUGUUGAGAUAUGAAUACAUAUGGUGAUCAACUCUGGUUCCGAAGGAUAAUGUUCAUUUUGAAGUAUAUGUAGGCAGAAAAGCAGAGCCCUUUGAAUAGAACAGGCUAUAGGACUGUUAACUAUAGAAACAUCACCUGCUACAAGAUCGAAACAAAGUAGAGUGGUACCUGUGUACUGCCACAGGUCCAUAAACAGUUAUGUUGAGUAGAAAUUAUUUUGAUGUUUUUAUUUCAUAUUAAACAUUUUAUGGUAUUUGGUUUUACCAUACUGUGUGGCAGUAAUUUUCAUUUUUGAUGUUUUGCAGCUUUGCUGACACAGGUGUACUAGAGAAACUGUUUGAAGCUUGGUCUGUGUAUUAAUGUUUAUAUUGUUCUCAAAAAUAAAAUUACUGCAAAAUCA